GUACUGCUGAGGAGUCCCAAACUAGGACUAAAACAGCUGUCCAGUAC
rnacentral:hammerhead_ribozyme from 1 species